GAUGAACGCUGGCGGCGUGCCUAAUACAUGCAAGUCGAGCGAACAGACGAGGAGCUUGCUCCUCUGAUGUUAGCGGCGGACGGGUGAGUAACACGUGGAUAACCUACCUAUAAGACUGGGAUAACUUCGGGAAACCGGAGCUAAUACCGGAUAACAUGUUGAACCGCAUGGUUCAACAGUGAAAGACGGUUUUGCUGUCACUUAUAGAUGGAUCCGCGCCGCAUUAGCUAGUUGGUAAGGUAACGGCUUACCAAGGCAACGAUGCGUAGCCGACCUGAGAGGGUGAUCGGCCACACUGGAACUGAGACACGGUCCAGACUCCUACGGGAGGCAGCAGUAGGGAAUCUUCCGCAAUGGGCGAAAGCCUGACGGAGCAACGCCGCGUGAGUGAAGAAGGUCUUCGGAUCGUAAAACUCUGUUAUUAGGGAAGAACAAAUGUGUAAGUAACUUUGCACGUCUUGACGGUACCUAAUCAGAAAGCCACGGCUAACUACGUG
rnacentral:rRNA from 1 species